rnacentral:rRNA from 1 species
UACGUAGGCAGCGAGCGUUGUUCGGAGUUACUGGGCGUAAAGGGUGUGUAGGCGGUUCUCUAAGUUUGGUGUGAAAUCUCCCGGCUCAACUGGGAGGGUGCGCCGAAAACUGGAGGGCUAGAGUACGGGGUGGGAGAGUAGAAUUCCUGGUGUAGCGGUGAAAUGCGUAGAUAUCAGGGGGAAUACCGGUGGUGUAGACGGCUCUCUGGACCGUAACUGACGCUGAGAAACGAAAGCGUGGGUAGCAAACAGG